CCUACGGGUGGCAGCAGUAGGGAAUAUUGCUCAAUGGGGGAAACCCUGAAGCAGCAACGCCGCGUGGAGGAUGAAGGUUUUCGGAUUGUAAACUCCUUUUGUUAGAGAAGAUAAUGACGGUAUCUAACGAAUAAGCACCGGCUAACUCCGUGCCAGCAGCCGCGGUAAUACGUAGGGUGCAAGCGUUAUUCGGAAUGACUGGGCGUAAAGAGCGCGUAGGCGGGAUAGCAAGUCAGAUGUGAAAUCCUAUGGCUUAACCAUAGAACUGCAUUUGAAACUGUUAUUCUAGAGUAUGGGAGAGGUAGGUGGAAUUCUUGGUGUAGGGGUAAAAUGCGUAGAGAUCAAGAGGAAUACUCAUUGCGAAGGCGACCUGCUAGAACAUAACUGACGCUGAUGCGCGAAAGCGUGGGGAGCAAACAGGAUUAGAUACCCUUGUAGUC
rnacentral:rRNA from 1 species